rnacentral:rRNA from 1 species
CAGCAGCCGCGGUAAUACAGAGGGUGCGAGCGUUAAUCGGAUUUACUGGGCGUAAAGCGUGCGUAGGCGGCUAAUUGAGUCGGAUGUGAAAUCCCCGAGCUUAACUUGGGAAUUGCAUUCGAUACUGGUUAGCUAGAGUGUGGGAGAGGAUGGUAGAAUUCCAGGUGUAGCGGUGAAAUGCGUAGAGAUCUGGAGGAAUACCGAUGGCGAAGGCAGCCAUCUGGCCUAACACUGACGCUGAGGUACGAAAGCAUGGGGAGCAAACAGGAUUAGAUACCCGCGUAGUCCCUGUCUCUUAUAU